GACGUAGGAGGCGAGCGUUGUCCGGAUUCAUUGGGCGUAAAGAGCACGCAGGCGGUUUGGCAAGUCGGAUGUGAAAACCCGAAGCUCAACUUCGGGCCUGCAUCCGAAACUGCCCGACUAGAGGUAGGUAGGGGAGAUCGGAAUUCCUGGUGUAGCGGUGAAAUGCGCAGAUAUCGAGAGGAACACCUGCGGCGAAGGCGGGUUGCUGGGCUGACACUGACGCUGAGGCGCGAAAGCUAGGGGAGCGAACGGG
rnacentral:rRNA from 1 species